CAGGAAGCCCUGGGCAGCGGCAUGUGACGCAGGUGGCCACGCCUCAAUGCCAGUUGUGUUCAAAGCCAGCGGCCCUGUUUUCUCAGAGCUGCUCCAGAGCUCCCAAGUGAUGUGGCUGACUCCCUUGGCAAGACUGGCCUCAGUUUCCCUGGGAUGAGCAAGUCGGAAGGUGAAGACCCAAGACAUUUCUAGAGCACUUGCUCGGGGCCAGGCACUGUCCCAGAUGCUGGAGAUGCAGCAGAGUCCAAGCAGAGAAGGUCCCUGCCUUCACGGAGCUCAUAUUCUAAUGGGAGAGACCGAUGAUGACAGCAUG